rnacentral:tRNA from 1 species
GGCUCUGUAGCUCAGCUGGAUAGAGCACUACGCCGUUACUGAGACGAUUGCAAUCGUCAACGUUAUAAUUUCGCGAUAAAGGCUAUUAUGGGGGGUCGCCGGUUCAAAUCCGGUCAGAGCCC